GACGAACGCUGGCGGCGUGCUUAACACAUGCAAGUCGAACGGAAAGGCCCUGCUUUUGUGGGGUGCUCGAGUGGCGAACGGGUGAGUAACACGUGAGUAACCUGCCCUUGACUUUGGGAUAACUUCAGGAAACUGGGGCUAAUACCGGAUAGGAGCUCCUGCUGCAUGGUGGGGGUUGGAAAGUUUCGGCGGUUGGGGAUGGACUCGCGGCUUAUCAGCUUGUUGGUGGGGUAGUGGCUUACCAAGGCUUUGACGGGUAGCCGGCCUGAGAGGGUGACCGGCCACAUUGGGACUGAGAUCCGGCCCAGACUCCUACGGGAGGCAACAGUGGGGAAUAUUGCACAAGGGGCGGAAGCCUGAUGCAGCAACGCCGCGUGCGGGAUGACGGCCUUCGGGUUGUAAACCGCUUUCGCCUGUGACGAAGCGUGAGUGACGGUAAUGGGUAAAGAAGCACCGGCUAACUACGU
rnacentral:rRNA from 1 species